rnacentral:rRNA from 1 species
AUUGAACGCUGGCGGCAGGCCUAACACAUGCAAGUCGAGCGGCGCAGCGGACGGGUGAGUAAUGCCUAGGAAUGUGCCUGGUCGUGGGGGAUGACGUUCGGUACCGGGCGCUAAUACCGCAUACUAUCAGAUGAGGCUAGGUCGGAUUAGCUAGUUGGUGGGGUAAAGGCCUACCAAGGCGACGAUCCGUAACUGGUCUGAGAGGAUGAUCAGUCACACUGGAACUGAGACACGGUCCAGACUCCUACGGGAGGCAGCAGUGGGGAAUAUUGGACAAUGGGCGCAAGCCUGAUCCAGCCAUGCCGCGUGUGUGAAGAAGGUCUUCGGAUUGUAAAGCACUUUAAGUUGGGAGGCGUUACCAGCAGAAUAAGCACCGGCUAACUUCGUGCCAGCAGCCGCGGUAAUUC